GAUGAACGCUGGCGGCGUGCCUAAUACAUGCAAGUCGAGCGAACAGACGAGGAGCUUGCUCCUCUGACGUUAGCGGCGGACGGGUGAGUAACACGUGGAUAACCUCCCUAUAAGACUGGGAUAACUUCGGGAAACCGGAGCUAAUACCGGAUACUAUACUGAACCGCAUGGUUCAAUAGUGAAAGACGGCUUUGCUGUCACUUAUAGAUGGAUCCGCGCCGCAUUAGCCAGUUGGUAAGGUAACGGCCUACCAAGGCAACGAUGCGUAGCCGACCUGAGAGGGUUGACGGCCCACCCGGAACCGAGGCGCCGUCCCAGCUUCUGCGGGAAGCACCCGUGGGGCAGCCUACAGAAGAGGCGAAAGCCUGAAGGAGCCACGGCAGAUUUAGGUGUGAAGGUCUGAGAGCGUUAAAGCGAGUUGUUAGGGAAGAACAAAUGUGUAAGUAACUAUGCACGGCUUGACGGUACCUAAUCAGAAAGCCACGGCUAACUACGUG
rnacentral:rRNA from 1 species